GGGGAUAUAGCUCAGCGGGAGAGCACUACGCUGGCAGUGUAGGGGCCGAGGGUUCGAAUCCCUCUAUCUCCACAA
rnacentral:tRNA from 1 species